AACGCGCAAAACCUUACCAGUCCUUGACAUGGGGAGUUUGGUUUCCGGAGACGGAUUCCUUCAGUUCGGCUGGCUCCCACACAGGUGUUGCAUGGCUGUCG
rnacentral:rRNA from 1 species